UCCGGGUUAGUCCCGGCUGUCGGUCUAGAAACCCAACUAGACCCGGGGGUUGCGCUCGUUGCGGGACUUAACCCAACACCUCACGGCACGAGCUGACGACAGCCAUGCAGCACCUGUGCAUUUCGCCUUGCGGCCAUCACCUUUCAGUGAUUGAACAAUGCAUGUCAAGCCCUGGUAAGGUUCUUCGCGUCGCAUCGAAUUGAACCACACGCUCCGCUGCUUGUGCGGGCCCCCGCCUAUUCCUUUGAGUUUUAACCUUGCGGCCGUAGUCCCCAGGCGGUGAACUUAAUGCGUUAGCUGCGGCACUGAUCGGGUCAAUCCGACCAACACCUAGUUCACAACGUUUAGGGCGUGGACUAC
rnacentral:misc_RNA from 1 species